rnacentral:rRNA from 1 species
CCUACGGGGAGCUGCAGUGGGGGAUAUUGCACAAUGGGGGAAACCCUGCUGCAGCGACGCCGCGUGGGUGAAGAAGCGCCUCGGCGCGUAAAGCCCUGUCAGCAGGGAAGAAAAUGACGGUACCUGAAGAAGAAGCCCCGGCUAACUACGUGCCAGCAGCCGCGGUAAUACGUAGGGGGCAAGCGUUAUCCGGCUUUCCUGGGUGUAAAGGGGGCGCAGACGGCGAUGCAAGCCAGGAGUGAAAGCCCGGGGCCCAACCCCGGGACUGCUCUUGGAACUGCGUGGCGAGAGUGCAGGAGGGGCAGGCGGAAUUCCUGGUGGAGCGGUGAAAUGCGUAGAUAUCAGGAGGAACACCGGUGGCGAAGGCGGCCUGCUGGACUGCAACUGACGUUGAGGCCCGAAAGCGUGGGGAGCAAACAGGAUUAGAUACCCCUGUAGUC